AGAGUUUGAUCAUGGCUCAGGAUGAACGCUAGCGGGAGGCCUAACACAUGCAAGCCGAGCGGUAUUGUUUCUUCGGAAAUGAGAGAGCGGCGUACGGGUGCGGAACACGUGUGCAACCUGCCUUUAUCUGGAGGAUAGCCUUUCGAAAGGAAGAUUAAUACUCCAUAAUAUAUUGAACGGCAUCGUUUAAUAUUGAAAGCUCCGGCGGAUAGAGAUGGGCACGCGCAAGAUUAGCUAGUUGGUGAGGUAACGGCUCACCAAGGCAAUGAUCUUUAGGGGCCUGAGAGGGUGAUCCCCCACACUGGUACUGAGACACGGACCAGACUCCUACGGGAGGCAGCAGUGAGGAAUAUUGGUCAAUGGGUGCAAGCCUGAACCAGCCAUCCCGCGUGAAGGACGACUGCCCUAUGGGUUGUAAACUUCUUUUGUAUAGGGAUAAACCUUUCCACGUGUGGAAAGCUGAAGGUACUAUACGAAUAAGCACCGGCUAACUCCGUG
rnacentral:rRNA from 1 species